rnacentral:rRNA from 1 species
CCGAGUUUACAACUCCCAAACCCAAUGUGAACGUUACCAAACUGUUGCCUCGGCGGGAUCUCUGCCCCGGGUGCGUCGCAGCCCCGGACCAAGGCGCCCGCCGGAGGACCAACCAAAACUCUUUUUGUAUACCCCCUCGCGGGUUUUUUAUAAUCUGAGCCUUCUCGGCGCCUCUCGUAGGCGUUUCGAAAAUGAAUCAAAACUUUCAACAACGGAUCUCUUGGUUCUGGCAUCGAUGAAGAACGCAGCGAAAUGCGAUAAGUAAUGUGAAUUGCAGAAUUCAGUGAAUCAUCGAAUCUUUGAACGCACAUUGCGCCCGCCAGUAUUCUGGCGGGCAUGCCUGUCCGAGCGUCAUUUCAACCCUCGAACCCCUCCGGGGGGUCGGCGUUGGGGAUCGGCCCUGCCUCUUGGCGGUGGCCGUCUCCGAAAUACAGUGGCGGUCUCGCCGCAGCCUCUCCUGCGCAGUAGUUUGCACACUCGCAUCGGGAGCGCGGCGCGUCCACAGCCGUUAAACACCCAACUUCUGAAAUGUUGACCUCGGAUCAGGUAGGAAUACCCGCUGAACUUAAGCAUAUCAAA